rnacentral:rRNA from 2 species
UACGGGGGGGGCGAGCGUUGUUCGGAAUUAUUGGGCGUAAAGGGCGCGUAGGCGGUGUGGCAAGUCAGGUGUGAAACCUCCAGGCUCAACUUGGAGCUUGCAUCUGAAACUGCCGUGCUAGAGUGUGGGAGAGGAGAGUGGAAUUCCUGGUGUAGCGGUGAAAUGCGUAGAUAUCAGGAGGAACACCGGUGGCGAAGGCGGCUCUCUGGACCACAACUGACGCUGAGGCGCGAAAGCUAGGGGAGCAAACAGG